ACGCUAGCUACAGGCUUAACACAUGCAAGUCGAGGGGAAACGACAUCGAAAGCUUGCUUUUGAUGGGCGUCGACCGGCGCACGGGUGAGUAACGCGUAUCCAACCUGCCCAUCACUUGGGGAUAACCUUGCGAAAGUAAGACUAAUACCCAAUGAUAUCUCUAGAAGACAUCUGAAAGAGAUUAAAGAUUUAUCGGUGAUGGAUGGGGAUGCGUCUGAUUAGCUUGUUGGCGGGGUAACGGCCCACCAAGGCGACGAUCAGUAGGGGUUCUGAGAGGAAGGUCCCCCACAUUGGAACUGAGACACGGUCCAAACUCCUACGGGAGGCAGCAGUGAGGAAUAUUGGUCAAUGGGCGAGAGCCUGAACCAGCCAAGUAGCGUGCAGGAUGACGGCCCUAUGGGUUGUAAACUGCUUUUAUAAGGGAAUAAAGUGAGUCUCGUGAGACUUUUUGCAUGUACCUUAUGAAUAAGGACCGGCUAAUUCCGUGCCAGCAGCCGCGGUAAUACGGAAGGUCCGGGCGUUAUCCGGAUUUAUUGGGUUUAAAGGGAGCGUAGGCCGGAGAUUAAGCGUGUUGUGAAAUGUAGACGCUCAACGUCUGCACUGCAGCGCGAACUGGUUUCCUUGAGUACGCACAAAGUGGGCGGAAUUCGUGGUGUAGCGGUGAAAUGCUUAGAUAUCACGAAGAACUCCGAUUGCGAAGGCAGCUCACUGGAGCGCAACUGACGCUGAAGCUCGAAAGUGCGGGUAUCGAACAGGAUUAGAUACCCUGGUAGUCCGCACGGUAAACGAUGGAUGCCCGCUGUUGGUCUGAAUAGGUCAGCGGCCAAGCGAAAGCAUUAAGCAUCCCACCUGGGGAGUACGCCGGCAACGGUGAAACUCAAAGGAAUUGACGGA
rnacentral:rRNA from 1 species